rnacentral:rRNA from 1 species
AGAGCUUAACUCUGGAACUGCCAUCAAAACUUUUUAGCUAGAGUGUGAUAGAGGAAAGCAGAAUUUCUAGUGUAGAGGUGAAAUUCGUAGAUAUUAGAAAGAAUACCAAUUGCGAAGGCAGCUUUCUGGAUCAUUACUGACACUGAGGAACGAAAGCAUGGGUAGCGAAGAGGAUUAGAUACCCUCGUAGUCCAUGCCGUAAACGAUGUGUGUUAGACGUUGGAAAUUUAUUUUCAGUGUCGCAGCGAAAGCAUUAAACACACCGCCUGGGGAGUACGACCGCAAGGUUAAAACUCAAAUGAAUUGACGGGGACCCGCACAAGUAGUGGAGCAUGUGGUUUAAUUCGAAGAUACGCGCAGAACCUUACCAACACUUGACAUGUUCGUCGCGACUUUAAGAGAUUAAAGUUUUCGGUUCGGCCGGACGAAACACAGGUGCUGCAUGGCUGUCGUCAGCUCGUGUCGUGAGAUGUUGGGUUAAGUCCCGCAACGAGCGCAACCCUCACUUUUAGUUGCCAUCAUUUAGUUGGGCACUCUGAAAGAACUGCCAGUGAUAAGCUGGAGGAAGGUGGGGAUGACGUCAAGUCCUCAUGGCCCUUACGUGUUGGGCUACACACGUGCUACAAUGGCAUUUACAAUAGGAAGCAAGAUGGCGACAUCAAGCAAAUCCUAAAAAGAUGCCUCAGUUCGGAUUGUACUCUGCAACUCGAGUACAUGAAGCUGGAAUUACUAGUAAUCGCGGAUCAGCGCGCCGCGGUGAAUACGUUCCCGGGUCUUGUACACACCGCCCGUCACACCAUGGGAGUUGGUUCUACCUUAAGGCAAGGUUUAAAACCCUUGACCACGGUAUAGUUAGCGACUGGGGUGAAGUCGUAACAAGGUAGCCG